UAGCCUCCUGAUUUGUGAAAGAGCGAAGAGUCAAAAUACUCAAGUAUAAGUCAAGACAUAUGAGGGAAUGAGUCAUAGGGAAGAAAGAGAUUCAUGCAGAUGAAGAAAAUACUAACAUGGAAGCAUAGGUGAGAGAAGAGAAUAAUGGUGUAGGAGAUUGGGCACCAAGAAAAAGAGGUGAAGAGUAUGAGCGAUCAGGGAGAGAGACAAAGAGAAGACG
rnacentral:lncRNA from 1 species